UACGUAGGGUGCGAGCGUUGUCCGGAAUUAUUGGGCGUAAAGGGCUCGUAGGCGGUUUGUCGCGUUCGGGAGUGAAAACUCAGGGCUUAACCCUGAGCCUGCUUCCGAUACGGGCAGACUAGAGGUAUGCAGGGGGAGAACGGAAUUCCUGGUGUAGCGGGUGAAAUGCGCAGAUAUCAGGAGGAACACCGGGUGGCGAAGGGCGGUUCUCUGGGCAUUACCUGACGCUGAGGAGCGAAAGUGUGGGGGAGCGAACAGG
rnacentral:rRNA from 1 species